UUUUGUGCUGAUAAUUGCAGGUCCCUGCCUUUGGAGCGCCGUCCCCAUGACAACGGCGCAGCUGCAGCAGAUAAGGGAUUGAGUUCAUUAGCACUUUGACUUAAAAGUCAAACUCCUUUUGCUCAGUGAGCUGAUGAUCCAACUUUUAGCUUUAAUAGGACUAUUUAUGCUUUUAAAUGGACAAUUGUGAUUAGUUAAUGAGAGUAUUUUAUAUUUUAGCUAUUAAGCACACACAGCUUCUCCACAUCCUUUCAAAAUAAAAGCCCCAAUCCUGCUCUUUUGGUAAAGAUAGCAAUAAUUCUGCUUUGAACAGGUUUAUUAUGACUAGUUAAUUAGACUAAUAUACUGUUUAACAAAUACCUGCAAAGGCCUUUUCCAUAUCCUUUCAAAAUAAAAGCACCAAUCCAGAUUUUUAGCUUUAAAGGGUUCAUAUCAUCUGUCUGUCUGUGUUUGUGUGAGUUGGUAUGCGUGUGGUGCGGUUGAAGUGUGGGGGGUCCGGUUUUUCGCCCGGGGUACGAUGAUCGUCUGCCUGGGUGGUCUCUUUUCUGCUGACCCCACCAAUUGCUGGCCUUGUGCUGCAGGCCGCUGUAGCGCCAGGGGAUGAGGUCGGGCCGAUGGGGUAGGCCCCGCUCCGCCCGUGGGGGUGGUGGGCUGGGGGCGGGCCCCACUCUGGGCGCGGGGGCAUCUUCUGGCGGGCUCCCUACGGACCGUGGGUCCUCGGGCUCUACUCUUUCAGGCCGACCCUCCCGCCGGGGGGAGUGUUUGCCCCUGGUUCUCAUGGGGCGGACAGCGUUGACCCCCGGUGGCCCACUCUGGCCUCGGGUGCUGUCUCUGUGGCUGCUGCAGCUCUGCCUGGGGGGCUCUGUGUGGGCGGCUUGGGUCGCAACACCUGCCCUCCUGGAACUGAAGGUGUGUGGGCUCCCUGGCUGCUAGGAUUCCUUCCUCUGCUUGCUGGAUGGGCGUAGUGGCGGAGCCCCUCACAUCACCCUGGCUUCCACAAGUGGCAUUGUUCAUGCACCAACGUCUGCCUCACCCUUUGGGUGAAUAAUGAUAAGCUACAGCCUUACUAACCUUGUAGUGGGACACUUUCCAAAUCCAACUGUAAGUAUUAUUGAUACUUAUCACUACCGAUAUGAAUAAUGUGUGAAUAUGGAAUUUGUGGUGUUGUAUGUCAUGACUUUUAUUAAGUAGUAUGGGAUAUGUAUAAUAAUGCACAUAUGUAUGUAUAUUGCAUGUAUAUGUUUGUAUUAGUAUGUGCACAUACCUUAGCACUAUUAUUGGUAUUAGUAUUAAUCUCCAAGGUAAACCACAGUACAAAAAUUGUUUAGUUAUGAAUGUGUUAGCCUAAGGUACAUCCAUGCUUCUUAUUUAUUUAUUUUUUUGCUCCGAUUGUUUACUUAACAGAUUUGCUUGGUUUCAGCAGCUGGUUGCACCCCUUAUCCCCCCCACCCUCCCGCAUACACACCCUAAAGCAGAAACCUAACCUGUCCACCAACACAGCAACAUCACACACAUUUUGGAUUAGCUAAAUAAACCAUUAAAUAAACCAUAAAUCAGGAAGAGUAUAUAUAUUCUAUAUAUACUCUUCUUGUUAAAGCAAAGCUGUCCAUCACAAUAUGGCAUUCAGCGUAAUAUAUGCUGCUUGCUUAACUGCUGGACAGAACAAAAAAAAAAUAAAAAAAAAUAAAAAAAAAUUAAAGGGUUCAUAUCAUGCAAAAUCCACUUUUUAGACAUUUUGGAGCGUUCCUAUGACUCUAUGGGUCACAUAUACACACACUGAGCACAGUAGAAAUGCAUUUCCUGCUUUUUUCACAUUUUGAAAACGUAAAUUUUCUCACCCAAUGAAAACAGACCACGACCUACUCUGAGACCGGGUCCCAGUUGUCGUCACCUUGGUCGGAAGUUCUCCCUGUAAAUCCUGAAUCACCACCCCCACAAUGAUCCCGAACCAAAACUGGACUUCCGCCAUUUCCCCCCUCUCACUCACCAAGAACAGACCAGCACGGCAGCGUUCAAGUCCUCCCAUAGAAAUAGUUCGGUUCUUGGGUGUUCUAACCAACACCAAAGUCUAUUCACUUUAACAAGGGAUCAACAAGUGAGGAUUUGUGGGUCACUUUUAUUUUUUAACGGACCGGUGCCAGAAACACUGCCUCAGCAUUUAUACGUAUGUGCAUUUCAAACGAGGGUGCGUACAAUGCUGGAUUUGUUUCACGGCUCCUGUUGGAAAAAAAGGACCUAUUCCUAAAGUCUGUCAUCCACUCACUGAAGAGGGCAAAUCCCAGUUGCCCACAUGCAAGGAGGCUGUCAAACAGAGAAAUCACUGCAGACUGUUGGUACACGGACAUCUGCUGCCCAGCUCAGGAGUGAAGGUGAUGGUGAGGACAGCCACAGCUUCCAUCUGGUAGAGGACUGCUUCCGCUCAGUCUUCCAAAUAGUGAUGAGAACAAGGAUCACCACAUCUCCCUGUUUACCCUACUUUCAUGCAUUUCGUCUGCAAGGCCCUGCAAAAGCUUCUCCUUCUUCCUCAAACCCCCAGACUUCUUAAUUAACUCAGUAACCUAUACAUUGCACAUUAGAGUGUGAAGGUAACAGUUUGUUCUAGCUUUGGAGUAGUGGUGUAUUUUUUUGGUUUACAAUAAAGUUGGCUUUAACUAUGUA